AUAUAACUGGAGCCUCUGCCGGGGGAAGACGCAGAGCGCCGCUGGGCUGCCGGGUCUCCUGCCUCCUCCUGCUCCUAGGGCCUCCUGCAUGAGGGAGCGGUAGAGACCCGGACCCGCUCCGUGCUCUGCCGCCUCGCUGCGCUUCGCCCGGGCCAGGCUCUGCCAGGCCUCGCGGUGAGCCAUGAUCCGCCUCGGGGCUCCCCAGUCGCUGGUGCUGCUGACGCUGCUCAUCGCCGCGGUCCUACGGUGUCAGGGCCAGGAUGCCCGUAAGUCGCCCGCCGCCCCUGCCUACUUCCCUGACUUGUGACCCUUUUCCUCCUACUCCCUCCCCCAAGUACUGGUCCGGGUUAGGGCGCUAAGUCCUAAGCGCAGAGUAUACAGGAGUACACUGAUCCUAAUUCUGCGAGUAAGGACCUCUGUCGCAGCAUCUUCAGUGAGAGUCACGAUUGGAGACUUUCUCAGGUCCCUGCGUUAAGCAAGGAUAUGCAACAGGUUUGAACACAGACGCAUCACCUUCCACCAGCUUUGACCAGGACGUUUCGAGCUCAGUAAAAGAAGCCCCACACUUAAAAGUAGGAGAGAAAUCGAGAGACGCCUACGGGUUGAUUUAUCAGCCUAGUCUAGGGGUUAGACGCUGCAGAACUCAAAGGGGCGCUAGACAAAGAACUAACUCUGACCCUGAUGGGUUGAAAUCUGAGGCCACAAAGAAAAAGCGGCUCCCGGCGACUUCAGCGCAGCUCUCCAGUCCCCUCCGCUAUCAGGCUGGCCCACAGUAAGGUGCAGCCGGGCAGCCCUUCUUUGAAACUCGGCUCUCCCCUUGCCUCCGUUAGGCUGCAGGAAUUUGACACUGAAAAACGUUGACAUUGCAAACAGACCUGCUUUCCAAAUGUGUCCCCAAGAGCACCCACCCGCACACACACACACUGUAUACCCUACAAUGAGUUACUUUACAGCGUGUGUAGCCGUGGAUGGAUAUGGGGUCAGGCUAGUGACCUGCGUAUGGCUAUCGUUAGAGGUGGCAGCUGUAUAGCCUCGGUCCAAGGGCGGUUCCCGCACCUUUCCAUCUCCUCCCUGGGUAAGAUCCACUGUCUGGGAUUAUAUUCAGGACAACCGAAGCCUGGAAAGUGUAUUAGGUAGAGAAUUUUCUUCCACGUGUUUGGGCACGUUUCCGACGGGUAGGGUUCCAGCCCUGUCUUUCUCUGUAUGUUACAGACUGUUAAUCAAUCGCAGGUGAAACUGUUUGGACAGUAGGUGGGGAUCAAAGACCCUCUGCCCGUGAGACUCUGUGCUCUUUCCCCUGCCACCAGGCUGUCUCCAGAGAUGCUUUAGAAGGAGGCGGGCCCGGGCGGACUUUUUGCUCUUUAGCUUGGCGGACCCGGCGGGGGGCAGGGCUAGAGCGGGGAGCGCUGCCGCGAGAAGCCCGGGAUAGCACUUUCCGACCCCGCCGCGCAGGGUGGCAGGGUGGCGAGCUAAGCCAGAGUCCUGCGUUCGAGCUCUGGGGGCGGGGGUGGGGGGGCAUCGAAGUGUUUGUAUGUGGUCUGAGAUAGGCCUGACUGUAUUUUUUGUCCUAAACUUUCAAGCACACACCCCACAAAGCUGCGGUCUUGACCGGUGUUCUUUAUGGAGCGCAGUGGAGUGAACUGAGCGUCUUAACGCUUUCUCGAAUUCUUCAUCUGAUAGCAGAGGCGCUCGCUUAAGUGUCAAAGAGCUCUCUCUCACUGCUGCAACCUUUUUGACAGAGUGAAUUCCACAGCUUUGUAUGAGUGUGGGUGGGUGGGGGGAGGUUGUCUAAAACUUUCGGUCUCUUACGAUUCUGCAUCUGACCAUGCCCCCCCCCCCCAAAAAAAAUCGUUGGUUUUACACCCCAGCUUGCCUCACCAAUGGCAGACACCCCACACUCUAGCCUUGGAUCCACAGGACCCAAAGACCUGACGUGGGGCAAGGCGUAGCCUGUGUGGACGUUAGGAAUGUCAGAAACCUAGAGUCCACCGCGCUCCUCCUCUCCAUCUUUCCACGAGUUUGGGAAACUUGUUGGCCGCGAAGACAUUGACCCACAUCUGCAUUUCUCAGCCCUAGCCUUCCAAAAGUGCUGCUGGUUCGGGAGGGGAGACCUCAGUCCUCCUUUGUGAGACUUGUUUGCGUUGGGGGAUUGGCAGCGAUGGCUUCCAGAUGGGCUGAAACCCUGCCCGUAUUUAUUUAAACUGGUUCCUCGUGGAGAGCUGUGAAUCGGGCUCUGUAUGCGCUUGAGAAAAGCCCCAUUCAUGAGAGGCAAGGCCCAGUGGGUCCCCCAACUCCCCGACCCCCCUCUCCCACAAUGCACAGCCUCCCCGCCCUCAUCCCCCCCCCACCCCCCGUGCCCGCCUGCCGCCACCUCCCGGGCUCCAGCCCCGCGCACAGCGGCGACGAAGCAAAACAGUUCCCCGAAAGAGGUAGCUUUUUAAUUGGCCGGCCACAAAGAAUCACUUAUGCCGCACGGCGGUAACGAGGGGAACCGGAUCGGGCGGCCAGGAUGCUAUCUGUAGCCCCUUUCGUGCCACAAUUAGGGUGGUGCUGGCUUCUUCGGACCGCACCUAGGCGAUCUGGUUACAGCGUUGGCUCCUUUCUUGGGCAGUCAUUUAAUCCUACAUUUUACUCUACGGAUGUCUGUCUGCUGGAGGGCUGUGUCCGGAGCCCCAGCCACAAAGAGUCAGCCAGCAGCUCUCACACCCGGCCAGACCCGCCCCUCCUUUGGCCCGCGCGGCCCUAGGGCGCCCUUCCUGGGGAACCCGAUCAGCUUUCACGACGCACCCUCUCCAGGAUUUUCUCGGGUUGUCCUAGGCAGUCUUGGGCAAUAGAGUGCCAUUUCUUAGUCAAGACAGGGCGUCACUAGCCUUUCCUCACCUCCAGCGAUAUUAGCGCCGCUGGGGGUGGGGAAAGUGGGAUUGGAGCCUGAGGUGGAGGAGCAGGGAGUAUCCCAGCAGCUUCGACCUUUUCCCCCUGGGAUUCCUUCAGCUUCUCCUCGAUUGUCUUAUCUAAAGGCUAGAUAGAUGGGUUUCUUCCAGUGGAAAAGAAAAAGGAGACUUUGAUCUUUGGAUUCUCGCCCUCCUUGAAGAGCAGAGGGCAGGCCCGUUUCUCUCCACGCCCACUGGGUUUGUGGCUCUUCGCUAUUAUUCACCCUCAGCUUUUGCCACUGCUUUUGAGAUUUUGAUGAGAAAAACAGCGCCGGGCGCUGCCUAGCACACGGUGCGGGCUCUUCAGUCCCUGGCGCUCUCUUGUCAGCACCGUUCUCAUGUGCAGGGCGAAUUCCAGACGGCAGGGCGCUGGUGGAGAGGGUCCAGCCCGAGCUACUUCUUAGCAUUCUUGGAGAACGCAGGUCUAGACUGGUCAGUCUUAGCCACGACUAGGCAUUGAGAAUCUUCUGCCACCCAUAUUGUGGCUGCCAUCUUCAGUCAGAGGCAAGACUUCUGGCAGGAGCGUCCCAGCCCGAGGGCUCGGCCUGCCUUUCAGAUUAUUAUGUAUUGCUUGUGUCUUCUAACGUUUGUAGGUAGAAUUCUCUGCGCUUUCUGAUUCUUAGUUGUCGCUAUAUUUAGAAAAUCUUGUUAUUCCUAGAGGAUGACAAAAAGGAUGUCUUUGCUCUGCAGUUAGAGUGUCCCGCUAUUUUUUUUUUUUCUGUAUUCUCCAUCUUUACUGCCCCAGGGUUCCUGCUCAGAGCAUCAUCUCCCCCUGCCACUUAGUUUCACCAACUACCCUUCCCUAUCUCCAUUCCCCCUCCCCCAAUGCUGGGAAGAAGAGACAUAAUGGAGUAACAGCCCUCCUUUAUCGCUGGUUCACGAUUCCCACUCCACCCAACAUACCAGUCUUGCACAGUGC
rnacentral:lncRNA from 1 species